rnacentral:rRNA from 1 species
CAGUAGCCGCGGGAAUACGGAGGGUGCAAGCGUUAAUCGGAAUUACUGGGCGUAAAGCGCACGUAGGCGGCUUGGUAAGUUAGAGGUGAAAGCCCGGAGCUCAACUCCGGAAUUGCCUUUAAGACUGCCGAGCUAGUAGGUGAGAGAGGUAAGUGGAAUUCCGAGUGUAGAGGUGAAAUUCGUAGAUAUUCGGAGGAACACCAGUGGCGAAGGCGGCUCACUGGUCCAUUACUGACGCUGAGGUGCGAAAGCGUGGGGAGCAAACAGGAUUAGAUACCCCUGUAGUCCCUGUCUCUUAUAC